UGCCUGGCGGCAGUAGCGCGGUGGUCCCACCUGACCCCAUGCCGAACUCAGAAGUGAAACGCCGUAGCGCCGAUGGUAGUGUGGGGUCUCCCCAUGCGAGAGUAGGGAACUGCCAGGC
rnacentral:rRNA from 3 species